CUACCUUGUUGCUUUGGCGGGACCGCUCGGUCUCGAGCCGCUGGGGAUUCGUCCCAGGCGAGCGCCCGCCAGAGUUAAACCAAACUCUUGUUAUUUAACCGGUCGUCUGAGUUAAAAUUUUGAAUAAAUCAAAACUUUCAACAACGGAUCUCUUGGUUCUCGCAUCGAUGAAGAACGCAGCGAAAUGCGAUAAGUAAUGUGAAUUGCAGAAUUCAGUGAAUCAUCGAAUCUUUGAACGCACAUUGCGCCCCUUGGUAUUCCGAGGGGCAUGCCUGUUCGAGCGUCAUUACACCACUCAAGCUAUGCUUGGUAUUGGGCGUCGUCCUUAGUUGGGCGCGCCUUAAAGACCUCGGCGAGGCCACUCCGGCUUUAGGCGUAGUAGAAUUUAUUCGAACGUCUGUCAAAGGAGAGGAACUCUGCCGACUGAAACCUUUAUUUUUCUAGGUUGACCUCGGAUCAGGUAGGGAUACCCGCUGAACUUAAGCAUAUCAAU
rnacentral:rRNA from 1 species